UUCAAAGUAGCCACCCUUUGCUUUUUUUGAUAGUGCUGCAAACCCUUGGUGUUCUCUCAAUGAGCUUCAUGAGGUAUUCACCUGAAAUGGUUUUCACUUUACAGGUGUGCCUCGUCAGGGUUCAUUAGUGGAAUUUCUUGCUUUGUUAAUGAAAAUAGCAAAGGGUGGCUAAUUCGA